rnacentral:rRNA from 1 species
CGUACACUCCUACGGGAGGCAGCAGUAGGGAAUCUUCGGCAAUGGGGGCAACCCUGACCGAGCAACGCCGCGUGAGUGAAGAAGGUUUUCGGAUCGUAAAGCUCUGUUGUAAGUCAAGAACGAGUGUGAGAGUGGAAAGUUCACACUGUGACGGUAGCUUACCAGAAAGGGACGGCUAACUACGUGCCAGCAGCCGCGGUAAUACGUAGGUCCCGAGCGUUGUCCGGAUUUAUUGGGCGUAAAGCGAGCGCAGGCGGUUUGAUAAGUCUGAAGUUAAAGGCUGUGGCUCAACCAUAGUUCGCUUUGGAAACUGUCAAACUUGAGUGCAGAAGGGGAGAGUGGAAUUCCAUGUGUAGCGGUGAAAUGCGUAGAUAUAUGGAGGAACACCGGUGGCGAAAGCGGCUCUCUGGUCUGUAACUGACGCUGAGGCUCGAAAGCGUGGGGAGCGAACAGGAUUAGAUACCCCUGUAGUCCC